GGCCACUGCUAUUGGGAUCCGACUAAGCCAUGCGAGUCGAGAGGGUUCGGCCCUCGGCAGACUGCUCAGUAACACGUGGAUAAUCUACCCUUAGGUGGAGGAUACUCUCGGGAAACUGAGAAUAAUACUCCAUAGGCCUAGGAUGCUGGAAUGUACCUAGGUUGAAAGUUCCGGCGCCUAAGGAUGAGUCUGCGGACUAUCAGGUUGUAGUCAGGGUAAAGACCUGACUAGCCUACGACGGAUACGGGUUGUGAGAGCAAUAGCCCGGAGACGAUAUCUGAGACACGAUAUCGGGCCCUACGGGGCGCAGCAGGCGCGAAACCUUCACAAUGUGCGAAAGCACGAUGAGGGGAUCCCGAGUGUUGGUUCGUAAGAAUCAUCUGUUUCUUUGUCUAAAAAACAGAGAGAGUAAGAGCUGGGUAAGACGGGUGCCAGCCGCCGCGGUAAUACCUGCAGCUCAAGUGGUGGUCGCUAUUAUUGGGCCUAAAACGUCCGUAGCCGGUUUAAUAAAUGCCUGGGUAAAUUGUGUAGCUCAACUAUACGAAUACCGGGUAGACUGUUAAACUUGGGACCGGGAGAGACUAGAGGUACUCCUAGGGUAGAGGUGAAA
rnacentral:rRNA from 1 species